UGAAAGAUGUGAUGGUUCUGGGCUUCUGGCAGUCCCUUCUUGCGCCCGCCUGAAAGAUGCCAUGGCGCGGCUGCUGGGGCACGUGUUGGUCUCGGCUGCCGCGCGCUGUCCAGGCACUGCUCGUAUCCUCGCAGCACCACCAGCAACAGACUCAUGACUUCAGUAGUCACGGGGGGCAUCAAGCGCGUUGGUCAGACAGUCAGACAGGUCAGUUUAUCUGUUCACCAAACAAACGACUGAAAUUCUCGUGAUUCUUCCUUUCAAAGAAAAAACUCGUGAUUGCUGAUUGUAUGCUAUAUUAUCCCUGAUAAGCAAACAAGCAGGGGUUCAACUCGAUUUUUACAGGCUAAGCUGGACUUCUAGAAGACGCUUCUAAUCUGCUUUGUCCAGGGAGAGGGAUGGACGCCGUGCCAUACACCUGAAUGUCUGGCGUACGCGCCACGCACCUCCACAUGAGAAAGUGACCCACGUAGUAAUUAUUGAUUAAACUAUGCAUGCAUGGGAUCGUGACAAGUGCGCGUAUCCACGUGCCCCCGACGCAAGGAGAUGGGCACAAAACCUGGUGGUGCAGUCAGAUUGCAGCGAUCUUGCUGAAAAGAAAAGGAAAGGAACCAACCAGCCAGCCAUUGAAGUCCCUCCUCGUGCAUGGAUCAACGGAAGAACUGAUCAUGCAUGCUUAUUAGUAAGGAAACAAUCGAAGCAUGCCACGGCGGCAUCGCUUCCAGAAGCUGCAGUGCAAAGGGAGGCGACGCCUUGUCGCAUUGAUGGCGUGUUCGUCGGUGCAGGAGCCGGAGCGUAGCGCGCGGGGGGCGGCUGGUUGGUGUGCAGGUGUCGCUCAUGCUGCCGCGCUCAUCUCCGGAUCCAAUUUUAUUUUGGUCGUCUCCUACACGAUCCAGCACAAGCCUACAUAUAAAUUACACUAAGCUAUAUACAAAGUAUACAUGUGUAUAUAUAUAGUUUCUACCAAUCUGGAUGAUGACGUCUGCCGGGUUGCCGCCCAGCACGAGCUAGCCUGGCUGCUGUCGGUUUAUGUUGCAGCGUCACGGCCUACCUGCUGCCACACUCUUUGAAGAGUCCGGCUCCUGUUGGCCAUGCAUCCUCGAAUUAAAUAAAAUGAAUGCUAUGCAUUUGUUUA